UCUUCCCGCCUAAUUCAAACACAAUCUCUCUCUAAUUGCCCUAAUCUUCAUCCUCAUUUCCAUCAUUGUUCUUCAAUCAACAGCUCUGCUAAACCCUAAAGAUUACAAUCCUUUGGCGCCGAGUUCUAAUGGCUUCACAGUCCCUCCAAAUUCAUCUUUUCCGAUUUCCCCCGCCGCUCCGCCUCCGUCGAAUUCUCUAGUCCCCGCCGUUUUCAUCAUCGGCGACUCUACAUGCGAGUGCGGCACCAAAAAUUUACUUGGUACCUUCGCUCGCGCCCAUCACCUUCCCUAUUGUCGAGAUUUCGACUGGAAGGUUUUGUAAUGGAAGAAUACCCGUCGAUUUUCCUGGUCUGAUCUCUGUUUUUUGUUCACUCCGUCUGGUGAUUUCUGAAUUUCCGAUUUGAUCUUUUAUUUCUCUUUCGUUUUAAAUUUCUGGAUGGUCAUUUCGCCCUGCGUCUUGGACUUCCUUUUGUUCAGAGUUAUCUUUGGCAUGCCGGAACGUGGAAGAUAUGAUUUAAGGAGUGAAUUAUGCAUCAGCUAGUGCUAGAGUUAUCUUCACUAGUGGAUCGGAAUUGACAAUGUGUGGAAUGACCUCCAUACAACAAUGUACUAUCCUAAGAACUUGAAGGAGGUGAUAACUCUCA